rnacentral:lncRNA from 1 species
AGCCUGAUACAUUUCAUAUCCUUUUGAUAUAAGGAAAUUUCCAUUAAGUAGCAGUGGUUUUCUAGAGCACUAUGCUGAGAUGGACAGCAAGAUUUUGCUGCAGCUCACCAGCAAGACAUGUAGUGAUGAAUUUGCAAUGUCUUCUGUGAGUAGGAGAGGUAAAGGUGGCAGCAGAUGCUGUAAAUAAUUUUUUCUCCAUCUCUAACAGGUGAAAACAGGACUAAGAAUGGUUUCUGAUUUUGAGAAUUUCAGAAUGAUUGGGGUUGCAUCUUCAUUCCAAACAACUUCAGCUCCAAGAGGACUUUCACAAACAGAGUCUUGCUCUAUCACCAGGCUGGAGUGCAGUGGCAUAAUCUCGGCUCACAGCAACACCCGCCUUCUGGGUUCAACCAUUUUUCUGCCUCAGCCUCCCAAGUAGCUCAACUUGGGACUACAGGGCUACAUACGUGAUAAUUCUAGACCAGCAUCUGACCCUUUUGUGCACUCAGUGAUUGUUAGAAUGGUAAGUAAAUGAAAAAGAGC